UACGUAGGGUGCAAGCGUUAAUCGGAAUUACUGGGCGUAAAGCGUGCGCAGGCGGUUUUGUAAGUCUGAUGUGAAAUCCCCGGGCUCAACCUGGGAAUUGCAUUGGAGACUGCAAGGCUAGAAUCUGGCAGAGGGGGGUAGAAUUCCACGUGUAGCAGUGAAAUGCGUAGAGAUGUGGAGGAACACAGAUGGCGAAGGCAGCCCCCGGGGUCAAGAUUGA
rnacentral:rRNA from 1 species